rnacentral:rRNA from 1 species
UACCAGCUCUCCGAGUGGUAGGGAUGAUUAUUGGGCUUAAAGCGUCCGUAGCCGGCUUAGCAAGUUUCCUGUUAAAUUCAGCGACCUAAUCGUUGAGCCGCGGGAAAUACUACUAGGCUAGGAGGCGGGAGAGGUCGACGGUACUUCUGGGGUAGGGGUGAAAUCCUAUAAUCCCGGGAGGACCACCAGUGGCGAAGGCUGUCGACUAGAACGCGCUCGACGGUGAGGGGCGAAAGCUGGGGGAGCGAACCGGAUUAGAUACCCGGGUAGUCCCAGCUGUAAACGAUGCGGGCUAGGUGUUGGGGUGGCUACGUGCCACUUCAGUGCCGCAGGGAAGCCAUUAAGCCCGCCGCCUGGGGAGUACGGCCGCAAGGCUGAAACUUAAAGGAAUUGGCGGGGAGCACCACAAGGCGUGAAGCUUGCGGUUC